GUCCCAUUCAGAGCGGCCGAGAGAUCUGGCUCGACGACGCCGCAGCAACCCGUCCUUCGCAGGGGUCAGGGUGCUAAGGCCAGAACCGAUGGAGA
rnacentral:ncRNA from 2 species